rnacentral:snoRNA from 1 species
AAGACUAUACUUUCAGGGAUCAUUUCUAUAGUUCAUUACUAAAAAAAAAAAAAAAAGGCUGAAAGUAGAAGUGUGUCUCAAGUGGUUAAGUACCAGCCUUGAGUAGAAAAAGGAAAGCGAGGGC